GACGAACGCUGGCGGCGUGCUUAACACAUGCAAGUCGAGCGGUAAGGCCCUUUCGGGGGUACACGAGCGGCGAACGGGUGAGUAACACGUGGGUGACCUGCCUUUAGCUCUGGGAUAAGCCUGGGAAACUGGGUCUAAUACUGGAUAUGACUCCAUGACGCAUGUUGUGGGGUGGAAAGCCUUGUGCGGCUGAGGAUGGGCCCGCGGCCUAUCAGCUUGUUGGUGGGGUGANGGCCUACCAAGGCGACGACGGGUAGCCGGCCUGAGAGGGCGACCGGCCACACUGGGACUGAGACACGGCCCAGACUCCUACGGGAGGCAGCAGUGGGGAAUCUUGCGCAAUGGGCGAAAGCCUGACGCAGCGACGCCGCGUGAGGGAUGACGGCCUGGUU
rnacentral:rRNA from 1 species